UACGUAGGGUGCGAGCGUUGCCCGGAUUUAUUGGGCGUAAAGGGCGCGUAGGCGGCUCGGCACGUCCGUUGUGAAAUCGCCCGGCUCAACUGGGCGGGGUCAGCGGAUACGGUCGAGCUUGAGCAAGCUAGGGGGCAAGUGGAAUUCCCGGUGUAGUGGUGGAAUGCGCAGAUAUCAGGAGGAACACCGAUGGCGAAGGCAGCUCGCUGGGACGGUACUGACGCUGAGGCGCGAAAGCGUGGGGAGCAAACAGG
rnacentral:rRNA from 1 species